rnacentral:lncRNA from 1 species
AUGGGAACCUGUAAUAGCCAUUUCAAACGCCUCCUCGAGCCAGGCCAACCCUUGAGGCAGCGGGAGAGCCGUUUCCGCCCGCCGGUGCAGAAUUCCGUUGUAAAUCCUUCUAGUUUGCCAAGGUGGCAGCAAAGCACAGGGAUAGCUCGCCAGGCUGCGGAAUCAAUACGAAAGAUCACAUUUUUAGGACAAAUACUCAUCUACCUGCUUUUACACAUCCAUCUUCGUCACCCUUGGUCAUGAUCUUCAAACAAGCUCACUCUACCAUGUGGUCAGUUUUUAUAUGAGACUUACAGGUAAUUUAAAGGUGAGAAAAUUUGCUACUCUAAUUGCCUGAAAUAAAGAAAAAAGUCUGAAAAAUGAUUAGGAUCA